UUCUCUUCCUCUCCUCAAAAAAGAUCCGCCUCCAACUCCUCCGUUGCUCCUCCUCCUCUCGUCUUCUCAAUUCCAGCGGCUCCAAACACCACCGGUGGGCAGCAGCAACUGGCGAAGAGCCAGGUAGCUGCCGUCCCCCCUCCUCUCGUUACCCCAUUCUCUCCAGUGGAGGCGAGGAGAGCAGCGAGCAGCUCCACAGGCAAGGACAGCCAGUAGUCGACGCCAAGCCAUCUCCCUCCACCUCUCGUUCCUCUUCUUUUUGCAGGAUUAGGAGCAGCAACAGCAAAACUCCGGCCACCAGCUCCGACAGCAGCAAGCAGCAGCGAGAACAUGCGAUAGACGAGUAGGCUCCAACCAGAAAUGGGAGGAAAUUUGUCUAAAAGAUGAAUACGGAGGUUUUUUAGCAAGAAAUAUAGAAAACUACCACCUACGGAGAUUGUGACGGUUCGUCGUGCUCGUGAAGAUCCGUAGAUGGUAUCGUAGCGCAGCUGCUGAAAGAAGAUGGAGAAUUCUGACCAAGCAUGGGGUUACGGAGAAAUCUGUCCAAAGAUGAAUGUAGAGAUUUUGAGCGAAGAAAUGCAGAAGAGACCACCUACGGAGCUUAUGACGGUCCGUCGUGCUUGUGACGGUCCGUAGGUGGCAGCGUAGUGCAGUUGCUGAAGGAAGAUGGGGAAGUCUGACAAAGUGUGGGGUUACGGAGUCCAUGACGGUCCGUCGUGUCUAUGACGGUCCGUCUUGCAGGUUCGUCAUGAAGUUCAGAGAAGUAAUCCAGUACCCAUAUUCCAAGAGUUGAAGUAUUUUGGAACGAGACCCUCGAAGGAUCGUCGUGUCUGUGACGGUCCAUCAUACUUGCCGUCGAGGUUAUGAAGAGAGCAGUAGAAGAAAUUGCACAAGUAUGGGACGACAGAGUCCAUGACGGUCGUCGUGACCACAAUGAUCCGUCGCGAGUUCCGUCGACCCAGUCGCGUUUUGACAGAUUUCCAGCAAAUAGAGUCCUUGUUUAAUUAGGUUUUUAUUUUCUAUAAAUAGUUCGAAAAAUCUCGUUUUUGAGGUUAGACUCUAGAUCAUUGUUAGACUCCGUAUUUUUAGACACCGUAUUAGUAAACAUUGUAUUGUUAGACUUUUGAUUAUAAUUAGACUUUUUGUGAGAUUAUUUAUUACUUCGAGAUUCUUGCAAGUGAUUGUUGGUGAUUUUUGGUGAUUAAUCAAGCAAACUAUCGG
rnacentral:lncRNA from 1 species